UGCCUAAAGCAAGGGGCGAUGCCCAUGCUCCAUUUUUGAAUUUUUCCGAAAAUAGGGCCCCGAGUGGGCCCACCGUGUCCCGGGAAAUUUUCCGACAUCCGGGACGGGGCGGAGGGGCUGGGGUGUUUGCGGGCCAAUUCCGUGGAUACCGAUGCCUAUCUUGCAGCCCAGACAUGCCCCCGUGCCCAGGCUCCCCAGCCCCCCCAGGGGGGUGAGGCAUACUGCAC
rnacentral:lncRNA from 1 species